rnacentral:tRNA from 1 species
GGCCUCGUAGCUCAGCCUGGUCAGAGCACCGCGCUCUUAACGCGGGUGUCGAGGGUUCAAAUCCCUUCGGGGCCA